GAUUGAACGCUGGCGGCAGGCUUAACACAUGCAAGUCGAACGAUGAUUUCCCAGCUUGCUGGGAAUGAUUAGUGGCGGACGGGUGAGUAACAUUUAGGAAUCUGCCUAGUAGUGGGGGAUAGCUCGGGGAAACUCGAAUUAAUACCGCAUACGACCUACGGGUGAAAGGGGGCGCAAGCUCUUGCUAUUAGAUGAGCCUAAAUCAGAUUAGCUAGUUGGUGGGGUAAAGGCCCACCAAGGCGACGAUCUGUAACUGGUCUGAGAGGAUGAUCAGUCACACCGGAACUGAGACACGGUCCGGACUCCUACGGGAGGCAGCAGUGGGGAAUAUUGGACAAUGGGGGCAACCCUGAUCCAGCCAUGCCGCGUGUGUGAAGAAGGCCUUUUGGUUGUAAAGCACUUUAAGCAGGGAGGAGAGGCUAAUGGUUAAUACCCAUUAGAUUAGACGUUACCUGCAGAAUAAGCACCGGCUAACUCUGUGCCAGCAGCCGCGGUAAUACAGAGGGUGCGAGCGUUAAUCGGAAUUACUGGGCGUAAAGCGAGUGUAGGUGGCUCAUUAAGUCACAUGUGAAAUCCCCGGGCUUAACCUGGGAACUGCAUGUGAUACUGGUGGUGCUAGAAUAUGUGAGAGGGAAGUAGAAUUCCAGGUGUAGCGGUGAAAUGCGUAGAGAUCUGGAGGAAUACCGAUGGCGAAGGCAGCUUCCUGGCAUAAUAUUGACACUGAGAUUCGAAAGCGUGGGUAGCAAACAGGAUUAGAUACCCUGGUAGUCCACGCGUAAACGAUGUCUACUAGCCGUUGGGGUCCUUGAGACUUUAGUGGCGCAGUUAACGCGAUAAGUAGACCGCCUGGGGAGUACGGCCGCAAGGUUAAAACUCAAAUGAAUUGACGGGGGCCCGCACAAGCGGUGGAGCAUGUGGUUUAAUUCGAUGCAACGCGAAGAACCUUACCUGGUCUUGACAUAGUGAGAAUCCUGCAGAGAUGCGGGAGUGCCUUCGGGAAUUCACAUACAGGUGCUGCAUGGCUGUCGUCAGCUCGUGUCGUGAGAUGUUGGGUUAAGUCCCGCAACGAGCGCAACCCUUUUCCUUAUUUGCCAGCGGGUUAAGCCGGGAACUUUAAGGAUACUGCCAGUGACAAACUGGAGGAAGGCGGGGACGACGUCAAGUCAUCAUGGCCCUUACGACCAGGGCUACACACGUGCUACAAUGGUAGGUACAGAGGGUUGCUACACAGCGAUGUGAUGCUAAUCUCAAAAAGCCUAUCGUAGUCCGGAUUGGAGUCUGCAACUCGACUCCAUGAAGUCGGAAUCGCUAGUAAUCGCAGAUCAGAAUGCUGCGGUGAAUACGUUCCCGGGCCUUGUACACACCG
rnacentral:rRNA from 1 species